rnacentral:rRNA from 1 species
UUUCUACAGGCUUAACACAUGCAAGUCGAGGGGCAGCAUGGUCUUAGCUUGCUAAGGCCGAUGGCGACCGGCGCACGGGUGAGUAACGCGUAUCCAACCUGCCUUACACUCUUGGACAGCCUUCUGAAAGGGAGAUUAAUACAAGAUGUUAUCAUGAGUAAGCAUUUUCGCAUGAUUAAAGGUUUACCGGUGUAAGAUGGGGAUGCGUUCCAUUAGAUAGUAGGCGGGGUAACGGCCCACCUAGUCUUCGAUGGAUAGGGGUUCUGAGAGGAAGGUCCCCCACAUUGGAACUGAGACACGGUCCAAACUCCUACGGGAGGCAGCAGUGAGGAAUAUUGGUCAAUGGACGAGAGUCUGAACCAGCCAAGUAGCGUGAAGGAUGAAGGUUCUAUGGAUUGUAAACUUCUUUUAUACGGGAAUAAACGAAUCCACGUGUGGAUUUUUGCAUGUACCGUAUGAAUAAGGAUCGGCUAACUCCGUGCCAGCAGCCGCGGUAAUACGGAGGAUCCGAGCGUUAUCCGGAUUUAUUGGGUUUAAAGGGAGCGUAGAUGGGUUGUUAAGUCAGUUGUGAAAGUUUGCGGCUCAACCGUAAAAUUGCAAUUGAUACUGGCAGUCUUGAGUACAGUUGAGGUAGGCGGAAUUCGUGGUGUAGCGGUGAAAUGCUUAGAUAUCACGAAGAACUCCGAUUGCGAAGGCAGCUUACUAACCUGUAACUGACAUUGAUGCUCGAAAGUGUGGGUAUCAAACAGGAUUAGAUACCCUGGUAGUCCACACGGUAAACGAUGAAUACUCGCUGUAGGCGAUAUACAGUCUGCGGCCAAGCGAAAGCAUUAAGUAUUCCACCUGGGGAGUACGCCGGCAACGGUGAAACUCAAAGGAAUUGACGGGGGCCCGCACAAGCGGAGGAACAUGUGGUUUAAUUCGAUGAUACGCGAGGAACCUUACCCGGGCUUAAAUUGCAACCGAAUAUGGCGGAAACGCUAUAGCUAGCAAUAGCGGUUGUGAAGGUGCUGCAUGGUUGUCGUCAGCUCGUGCCGUGAGGUGUCGGCUUAAGUGCCAUAACGAGCGCAACCCUUGCCGAUAGUUACUAACAGGUCAUGCUGAGGACUCUGUCGGGACUGCCAUCGUAAGAUGUGAGGAAGGUGGGGAUGACGUCAAAUCAGCACGGCCCUUACGUCCGGGGCUACACACGUGUUACAAUGGGGGGUACAGAGGGCUGCUACCACGCAAGUGGAUGCCAAUCCCAAAAACCUCUCUCAGUUCGGAUUGAAGUCUGCAACCCGACUUCAUGAAGCUGGAUUCGCUAGUAAUCGCGCAUCAGCCACGGCGCGGUGAAUACGUUCCCGGGCCUUGUACACACCGCCCGUCAAGCCAUGGGAGCCGGGGGUACCUGAAGUGCGUAACCGCAAGGAGCGCCCUAGGGUAAAACUGGUGACUGG